GACGAACGCUGGCGGCGUGCUUAACACAUGCAAGUUGAACGGGUCAUAUAUGAAGGGUAACCGGAGUGUAUGGCUAGUGGCGAACGGGUGAGUAAUGCAUGAGAACGUAUCCUCAAGAGGGGGACAACAUUGGGAAACCGAUGCUAAUACCCCAUAAGCCGGGAGGUAAAAGGAGGAAUCCGCUUGAGGAGCGGCUCAUGUCCUAUCAGCUAGUUGGCGAGGUAACGGCUCACCAAGGCGAAGACGGGUAGCCGGCCUGAGAGGGUGAACGGCCACACUGGAACUGAGAGACGGUCCAGACUCCUACGGGAGGCAGCAGUGGGGAAUAUUGGGCAAUGGGGGAAACCCUGACCCAGCGACGCCGCGUGAGGGAAGAAGGCCUUAGGGUCGUAAAGGGCUUUUCUGUGGGAAGAGAAAGGACAGUACCGCAGGAAUAAGUGUCGGCUAACUACGUG
rnacentral:rRNA from 1 species